GAAACCUCGGGAGGUGAGCAAAGACUUGUUGCCAUGUACAUAGUGUUUUCUGGUGAGUGGUGGAUCAUGGACGAUUUAACUGGCGGUAGUUAGAAGUGUAUUGGUGUGUAUAGAGGCCUGUUGUGGUGUUCAGGUUCAGGUAGAAGUGUAUUGGUGUAUAUAGAGGCCUGUUGUGGUGUUCAGGUAGAAGUGUAUUGGUGUAUAUAGAGGCCUGUUGUGGUGUUCAGGUUCAGGUAGAAGUGUAUUGGUGUAUAUAGAGGCCUGUUGUGGUGUUCAGGUUCAGGUAGAAGUGUAUUGGUGUAUAUAGAGGCCUGUUGUGGUGUUCAGGUAGAAGUGUAUUGGUGUAUAUAGAGGCCUGUUGUGGUGUUCAGGUAGAAGUGUAUUGGUGUAUAUAGAGGCCUGUUGUGGUGUUCAGGUAGAAGUGUAUUGGUGUAUAUAGAGGCCUGUUGUGGUGUUCAGGUUCAGGUAGAAGUGUAUUGGUGUAUAUAGAGGCCUGUUGUGGUGUUCAGGUAGAAGUGUAUUGGUGUAUAUAGAGGCCUGUUGUGGUGUUCAGGUAGAAGUGUAUUGGUGUGUAUAGAGGCCUGUUGUGGUGUUCAGGUAGAAGUGUAUUGGUGUAUAUAGAGGCCUGUUGUGGUGUUCAGGUAGAAGUGUAUUGGUGUAUAUAGAGGCCUGUUGUGGUGUUCAGGUAGAAGUGUAUUGGUGUAUAUAGAGGCCUGUUGUGGUGUUCAGGUAGAAGUGUAUUGGUGUAUAUAGAGGCCUGUUGUGGUGUUCAGGUUCAGGUAGAAGUGUAUUGGUGUAUAUAGAGGCCUGUUGUGGUGUUCAGGUAGAAGUGUAUUGGUGUAUAUAGAGGCCUGUUGUGGUGUUCAGGUAGAAGUGUAUUGGUGUGUAUAGAGGCCUGUUGUGGUGUUCAGGUUCAGGUAGAAGUGUAUUGGUGUAUAUAGAGGCCUGUUGUGGUGUUCAGGUAGAAGUGUAUUGGUGUAUAUAGAGGCCUGUUGUGGUGUUCAGGUUCAGGUAGAAGUGUAUUGGUGUAUAUAGAGGCCUGUUGUGGUGUUCAGGUUCAGGUAGAAGUGUAUUGGUGUAUAUAGAGGCCUGUUGUGGUGUUCAGGUAGAAGUGUAUUGGUGUAUAUAGAGGCCUGUUGUGGUGUUCAGGUAGAAGUGUAUUGGUGUAUAUAGAGGCCUGUUGUGGUGUUCAGGUAGAAGUGUAUUGGUGUAUAUAGAGGCCUGUUGUGGUGUUCAGGUUCAGGUAGAAGUGUAUUGGUGUAUAUAGAGGCCUGUUGUGGUGUUCAGGUAGAAGUGUAUUGGUGUAUAUAGAGGCCUGUUGUGGUGUUCAGGUAGAAGUGUAUUGGUGUGUAUAGAGGCCUGUUGUGGUGUUCAGGUAGAAGUGUAUUGGUGUAUAUAGAGGCCUGUUGUGGUGUUCAGGUAGAAGUGUAUUGGUGUAUAUAGAGGCCUGUUGUGGUGUUCAGGUAGAAGUGUAUUGGUGUAUAUAGAGGCCUGUUGUGGUGUUCAGGUAGAAGUGUAUUGGUGUAUAUAGAGGCCUGUUGUGGUGUUCAGGUUCAGGUAGAAGUGUAUUGGUGUAUAUAGAGGCCUGUUGUGGUGUUCAGGUAGAAGUGUAUUGGUGUAUAUAGAGGCCUGUUGUGGUGUUCAGGUAGAAGUGUAUUGGUGUGUAUAGAGGCCUGUUGUGGUGUUCAGGUUCAGGUAGAAGUGUAUUGGUGUAUAUAGAGGCCUGUUGUGGUGUUCAGGUAGAAGUGUAUUGGUGUGUAUAGAGGCCUAUUGUGGUGUUCAGGUUCAGGUAGAAGUGUAUUGGUGUAUAUAGAGGCCUGUUGUGGUGUUCAGGUAGAAGUGUAUUGGUGUAUAGAGAGGCCUGUUGUGGUGUUUAGGUAGAAGUGUAUUGGUGUGUAUAGAGGCCUGUUGUGGUGUUCAGGUAGAAGUGUAUUGGUGUGUAUAGAGGCCUGUUGUGGUGUUCAGGUAGAAGUGUAUUGGUGUGUAUAGAGGCCUGUUGUGGUGUUCAGGUAGAAGUGUAUUGGUGUAUAUAGAGGCCUGUUGUGGUGUUCAGGUAGAAGUGUAUUGGUGUAUAUAGAGGCCUGUUGUGGUGUUCAGGUAGAAGUGUAUUGGUGUAUAUAGAGGCCUGUUGUGGUGUUCAGGUAGAAGUGUAUUGGUGUAUAUAGAGGCCUGUUGUGGUGUUCAGGUUCAGGUAGAAGUGUAUUGGUGUAUAUAGAGGCCUGUUGUGGUGUUCAGGUAGAAGUGUAUUGGUGUAUAUAGAGGCCUGUUGUGGUGUUCAGGUAGAAGUGUAUUGGUGUGUAUAGAGGCCUGUUGUGGUGUUCAGGUUCAGGUAGAAGUGUAUUGGUGUAUAUAGAGGCCUGUUGUGGUGUUCAGGUAGAAGUGUAUUGGUGUGUAUAGAGGCCUAUUGUGGUGUUCAGGUUCAGGUAGAAGUGUAUUGGUGUAUAUAGAGGCCUGUUGUGGUGUUCAGGUAGAAGUGUAUUGGUGUAUAGAGAGGCCUGUUGUGGUGUUUAGGUAGAAGUGUAUUGGUGUGUAUAGAGGCCUGUUGUGGUGUUCAGGUAGAAGUGUAUUGGUGUAUAGAGAGGCCUGUUGUGGUGUUUAGGUAGAAGUGUAUUGGUGUAUAUAGAGGCCUGUUGUGGUGUUCAGGUAGAAGUGUAUUGGUGUAUAUAGAGGCCUGUUGUGGUGUUCAGGUAGAAGUGUAUUGGUGUAUAUAGAGGCCUGUUGUGGUGUUCAGGUAGAAGUGUAUUGGUGUAUAGAGAGGCCUGUUGUGGUGUUUAGGUAGAAGUGUAUUGGUGUAUAUAGAGGCCUGUUGUGGUGUUCAGGUAGAAGUGUAUUGGUGUAUAUAGAGGCCUGUUGUGGUGUUCAGGUAGAAGUGUAUUGGUGUAUAUAGAGGCCUGUUGUGGUGUUCAGGUAGAAGUGUAUUGGUGUAUAUAGAGGCCUGUUGUGGUGUUCAGGUAGAAGUGUAUUGGUGUAUAUAGAGGCCUGUUGUGGUGUUCAGGUAGAAGUGUAUUGGUGUAUAUAGAGGCCUGUU